GACAAUGGGAUCACUUUUCCCUUGAAUCAAUCCUUGAAGACGAAUCCCUUGUUGUACCAAAUGCAAUGGAUUCCACUUUGGUUUUGGGCACAAUUGAAAAUGCUGGUGAUAACUGUGGUUUAGCACUUGAGUAUUUAUUUAUUCAUUCAUUCAUUCAUUCAUUCAUUUUCUUGGAUCUGUAUUCUGUCCGUGGAACCCAAUGUGACACAGAUGUGAUUCCCAGGCAGGUUGGUCAUCAGGCACUGACCAGAGCAAGACAUACUUAAGCUUCAGCAAGGUGAUGAUCUCAUUUGCCUUCAGAUCACAUCCUGGAAUAUCUGAAGGACUGCUUUCUCCCAUACAAGUUUGCUGACCUGGACAUGGGUGGUACUGUGGUCUAAACCACUGAGCCUCUUGGGCUUGCCGAUCAGAAGGUCGGCAGUUCAAAUCUGCUUGACAGUGGUGAGCUCCCGAUGCUCUGUCCCAGCUUCUGCCAAUCUAGCAGUUUGAAAGCACACCAGUGCAAGUAGAUAAAUAGGUAUGGCUGUGGCAGGAAGGUAAACUGCAUUUCUGUGUGCUCUGGCACGCAUCACAGUGUUCCGUUGCACCAGAAGCGGUUUAGUCAUGCAGGCCACAUGACCUGGAAAGCUGUCUGUGGACAAAUGCUGACUCCCUCGGCCUGAAGCAAAAUGAGUGCUGUACCCCAUAGUCAACUUUGAUUGGACUUAACUGUCCAGGGGUUCUUUACCUUUACCUUACCUGGCUGCCUGUUGACAUCAUCUUUGGAGGUACUCCUAGGUGUCUGGGAAUGUUCCCAGAAACAUUUUGUGUUGGGACAAGGCAGAAGACCUUCUUGGUGGUUGCUUUGAAACUCCCUUUCAGUGGAAUCUGGUUUACAACCCUUCUUUAAUGACUUCCUAAUUUUUAAGAAGACGUUUUGAUUUUAAAGGGUUCUUUUAAAGGGCUCUCUAGUUUUAACUGUCUGUGGAUUUUGAAUAUUUUUUAUUGUUGCUGUGCUGUGUUAGGUCUUGUUAUUAUUUUAGUGUUUAAUAAUGUUCUAAAAUGUUAACUUGUUCUUUGUUAGCUAUAUUGAGAUAUGCUGGGGGAAGGUGGGGCAUAAAAGUUUUAAAUAAAUAAGAAGAAUAGAGUACAAAGAGCUAUGUUUAGAAUCAGGGAAACUGCUCCACAGAUGAAUGGAUCAGUGCAUGUCAAUUUCACAUGUGACCAUUUUAAAAUCUAUUAUCGAUUUCAUGUGUGCUCAUUAGCAAGUUUAUUCCAUCCUGCCUUCCUCCCAUUAAUUUGUGAUUUUGUUUGAAGUACACAUCAAGAUCCAUGUUUGAGCGCACAUUUAAUCACAAAAUACUUUAUGCAUUUCUAAAUAUAUUUAGUUGCAUCCAAGUAAGUUUGACUUGGAGUAGACCCAUUGGAAUUAAAUUAUUUCCAUUCACUUCAGUUAUUCAGCUUUUAGCAUGUCCGAUGCUAGAGAGAACCUUUUAUUCUAAAAUAGUUUUACACCUUUUGCUACAUUUUUUGAGCCAAGGCAUGUGUCAUAAAAUUCAGAGAAGUGUGAAAUCUGAAGGGCCAUGGAUUAGUCCGAAAGGUAUGAAUUUGGUUGGCUCACUUAAAAAAAAUAAAAUAAAAAGGUGAAUGGAAUGAAAUUCUCCUCCAUCCUUAUACCAGGUAAAGUAAAUUGAAAUUCAUUGCAUGGGCUUCCAGUGUGCAUACAACGACCAUGAACUACCCAGACAAAUUGAACAGCAAAAUGCCUUGUUUGUUGAAACUUCAUGGCCUUUCUUUUCCUUCCUCGGGCUUGUGAGUUUUGUCCAACACAGGGCUGCCUUAAAUAAGCCAUUACCAUCAAAUCCUGUGACUUAUGAACAAUUAAUUUACUGUUGCAGCAUCACCACGGGUUUCUGCAAUAUUUACUUGUGACUUGCAUGAUUCAUCUAGCGCUGCUGGAGUUUAAGUGCCAGUAAAGGAGCGAGGACACAGAUGAGUUCAAAUAUAUUCAAUCUCUUGUAAUAUUGCCAAGGAAUAUUGAAAUAUUGUUUAGCUACACUAAUAUGCAAUUGGUCAGCAUGUGGGGUUGAACAACAAGAGAGCAGCCAUUUCAUAGAAUCAGAAGGGCUGGAAGGGUCUCUUUGGGGAACUGUAGUGAUGAAAUCCUAAGAAUUAUGUUAGGGAAUCCCCCACUUAUGCUUCUUGGAACAACAUUUCUUAGUUUCACUGUAGAAAUGGAAUUAUGCUAGAGUAGUUUAAGACUGUGAUGCAGAUAUGCCCAGUGGUGUAUUUUUUGAUUUUGACAUUGUUUGCAGUUUGAUCAUCCAUCUAGGGAUGACCAAAUUCGUCAGUGUCAGUUUCUCACUUUUACUUUCCUAAGCUCAGUUCAUCCCUUUUCUUCAGCAGUUCACAACAUGCAUGUUUGUAUGCAUUACUUCUAAUAUAUGCAUUUUUGCAAGCAUUCUCCCCUAAUCGUUAUGCAUUAUGUGUGUCUGUGUGGGUGGGUGUGUAAUUUGUGCACAUGUACGCCUACCACAGGAUUAUUAUCAUUUCUGUACACCAUUUUUUGUUUGUGGGGCUAGCAUUGGAAAAUUUUGAGUUGUGUAUUGGUCUGGGAAUUGUGAAUUAGGUAGUUUCCCAUUACAAGGCAAAUUGAAUGGAUUUCUCCUCUGUCCUUACAUCCCUUUCCUGCAUAAUAC